rnacentral:rRNA from 1 species
AGAGUUUGAUCCUGGCUCAGGACGAACGCUGGCGGCGUGCUUAAUACAUGCAAGUCGAGCGAGGUUACUGUUUUGGAUCCCUUCGGGGUGAAGAAGCUUUAACCUAGCGGCGGACGGGUGAGUAACGCGUGGGUAACCUACCCCAAAGUCCGGGAUAACAGCGGGAAACCGUUGCUAAUACCGGAUACUCCAUUUCUGGCGCAUGUCAGAGAUGGGAAAGGGUUUACCGAUGUCGGAUGGGCUCGCGUCCCAUUAGCUGGUUGGUGAGGUAACGGCUCACCAAGGCUGCGAUGGGUAGCUGGUCUGAGAGGACGAUCAGCCACACUGGAACUGAGACACGGUCCAGACUCCUACGGGAGGCAGCAGUGGGGAAUAUUGCACAAUGGGCGAAAGCCUGAUGCAGCGACGCCGCGUGGAGGAUGAAGGCCUUCGGGUCGUAAACUCCUGUCUGGGGGGAUGAACACUGACAGUACCCCCGGAGGAAGCCCCGGCUAACUACGUGCCAGCAGCCGCGGUAAU